GACGAACGCUGGCGGCGUGCUUAACACAUGCAAGUCGAACGGACCCUUUGGGGUUAGUGGCGAACGGGUGAGUAACACGUGGGUGAUCUGCCCUGCACUUUGGGAUAAGCCUGGGAAACUGGGUCUAAUACCGGAUAGGACUACGCACUGCAUGGUGUGUGGUGGAAAGCUUUUGCGGUGUGGGAUGGGCCCGCGGCCUAUCAGCUUGUUGGUGGGGUGAUGGCCUACCAAGGCGACGACGGGUAGCCGGCCUGAGAGGGUGACCGGCCACACUGGGACUGAGAUACGGCCCAGACUCCUACGGGAGGCAGCAGUGGGGAAUAUUGCACAAUGGGCGCAAGCCUGAUGCAGCGACGCCGCGUGAGGGAUGACGGCCUUCGGGUUGUAAACCUCUUUCGCCAGGGACGAAGCGCAAGUGACGGUACCUGGAGAAGAAGGACCGCCCAACUACGUGCCAGCAGCCGCGGUAAUACGUAGGGUCCGAGCGUUGUCCGGAAUUACUGGGCGUAAAGAGCUCGUAGGUGGUUUGUCGCGUUGUUCGUGAAAACUCACAGCUUAACUGUGGGCGUGCGGGCGAUACGGGCAGACUGGAGUACUGCAGGGGAGACUGGAAUUCCUGGUGUAGCGGUGGAAUGCGCAGAUAUCAGGAGGAACACCGGUGGCGAAGGCGGGUCUCUGGGCAGUAACUGACGCUGAGGAGCGAAAGCGUGGGGAGCGAACAGGAUUAGAUACCCUGGUAGUCCACGCCGUAAACGGUGGGUACUAGGUGUGGGUCUCCUUCCUUGGGAUCCGUGCCGUAGCUAACGCAUUAAGUACCCCGCCUGGGGAGUACGGCCGCAAGGCUAAAACUCAAAGGAAUUGACGGGGGCCCGCACAAGCGGCGGAGCAUGUGGAUUAAUUCGAUGCAACGCGAAGAACCUUACCUGAGUUUGACAUGCACAGGACGCCGGCAGAGAUGUCGGUUCCCUUGUGGCCUGUGUGCAGGUGGUGCAUGGCUGUCGUCAGCUCGUGUCGUGAGAUGUUGGGUUAAGUCCCGCAACGAGCGCAACCCUUGUCUCAUGUUGCCAGCACGUUAUGGUGGGGACUCGUGAGAGACUGCCGGGGUCAACUCGGAGGAAGGUGGGGAUGACGUCAAGUCAUCAUGCCCCUUAUGUCCAGGGCUUCACACAUGCUACAAUGGCCGGUACAAAGGGCUGCGAUGCCGUGAGGUGGAGCGAAUCCUUUCAAAGCCGGUCUCAGUUCGGAUCGGGGUCUGCAACUCGACCCCGUGAAGUCGGAGUCGCUAGUAAUCGCAGAUCAGCAACGCUGCGGUGAAUACGUUCCCGGGCCU
rnacentral:rRNA from 1 species